UUAGUGGUACUGCUGUCUGUGAAGAUAUUCCAUCAAAACUGUUGCUGUGCUGCAUCUUUUUCGGCUUUCGGGAUUUCAUAGUUCUGUCUGGCUCUCAUAUUCUUGUUUUGCUUUGUUUCCAUUUCUUUGUUUGCUUGUUGUUGUUGUUUUACCCAUUCAAAACAAAAUGGCGCUGGGGUGGGGAAAUACGGGAAAAUAAAGCAACUGGUUUUCCCCUCGUUCCAUGAAGAGACGACGCAAAUAAUGAUUGAGGAAUGUAACUUUCCCCCAAGCAAACACUGGGGAAAAUGGCGGUCCCAUUCGCCAUCGUUUCCCCUCUAGACCAAUAUGGAAGAGUGGAGGGUUCCACCAGUGACAUUGAAAGGUGGGUCAUGCCUACUCUCCCAGCCAGGUUUCGACAUCUUCAGAAUUAAUCCAGAGAGAUCCACUCUGGCCGGCCCAGUGAAUCUGUCAUUAAAAGCUCUAGGGAGGAAACCCCUCCCCUACUUUUAGAGGUGCUGGUUUUAGUGUUUUCGUUUUUGCCUGUGCGGCUGUUUGAAAAACAGAGGCAUUUCCCGCCUCGACGCCCUUGACCUCUUAAACAUGACCUCAAAGGGAGGAUUUUGAUGGCCGUGAUUGCCUAGGUGCAAAAAAAAAAAAUGGUCAGUCACGGAAUCCCAACAGGAAACAACCGGGGUGGGGUUCUUACUCUAUUUUUAGUCCUUGACUAGGAAACCUUCCUCCUUGCAAGAGCAUCUUUGAGGACACCUCAUCAUCAAACCAACCUGCCUUGAUCAAGGCAACUAGAAAAGGGUGCCUCUUACUUUCUCGUUCAAUAAUGAUCUGUUGUUCUGAAUGGUCCCAUUCACUCUCCGGAUUUGUCUUUAAAUUGUUUAAAAGCACAGCUGUCAGUGGUCUCAGGUGGCCACAAGUCCCUCUAUGUCUUGUUUGGACCUUAUUUUUUUUUGCUCUGAAGGACCCUGUGUAGUUUCUCCCUCUGUCUGUGAUGUUCCCAUCUGGAUUUUUAUUUAUUUUUUUAAAGUGGGUUAGUUUGGGUUGGGAGGGCUUUAUCCCCCUGUAUUUUCUUUUCUUUUCUUUUUAAUUUUCCACGUUUUCUUGUGAACGCUUUUCUUUGUGUCUUCUCCUCCGUUCUUCCUUUUUAGUGGGUGGUGUUCCUCUCACUUUCUCCUCUCUCGGCUCCCCUUUUCUCUCUCACACACACACAUGGGGAUGUUUGUUCUGAGAAAACAAAGGGAAA
rnacentral:lncRNA from 1 species